CCGCGUGAGUGAUGAAGGUUUUCGGAUCGUAAAACUCUGUUGUUAGGGAAGAACAAGUACCGUUCGAAUAGGGCGGUACCUUGACGGUACCUAACCAGAAAGCCACGGCUAACUACGUGCCACCACCCGCGGUAAUACGUAGGUGGCAAGCGUUGUCCGGAAUUAUUGGGCGUAAAGCGCGCGCAGGCGGUUUCUUAAGUCUGAUGUGAAAGCCCCCGGCUCAACCGGGGAGGGUCAUUGGAAACUGGGGAACUUGAGUGCAAAAAAGGAGAGUGGAAUUCCACGUGUAGCGGUGAAAUGCGUAGAGAUGUGGAGGAACACCAGUGGCGAAGGCGACUCUCUGGUCUGUAACUGACGCUGAGGCGCGAAAGCGUGGGGAGCGAACAGGAUUAGAUACCCUGGUAGUCCACGCCGUAAACGAUGAGUGCUAAGUGUUAGAGGGUUUCCGCCCUUUAG
rnacentral:rRNA from 1 species